rnacentral:rRNA from 1 species
UACGGGGGGGGCAAGCGUUGUUCGGAAUUACUGGGCGUAAAGGGCUCGUAGGCGGCCAACUAAGUCGGACGUGAAAUCCCUCGGCUCAACCGGGGAACUGCGUCCGAUACUGGCGAGGCUUGAAUCCGGGAGAGGGAUGUGGAAUUCCAGGUGUAGCGGUGAAAUUCGCAGAUAUCAGGAAGAACACCAAUGGCGAAAGCAGCUCUCUGGGACGGUACUGACGCUGAGGCGCGAAAGCUAGGGGAGCAAACAGG